UACAGGGGGGGGCAAGCGUUGUUCGGAAUUACUGGGCGUAAAGGGCUCGUAGGCGGCCGGCUAAGUCCGACGUGAAAUCCCCGGGCUCAACCUGGGAAUUGCAUUCGAUACUGGAUAGCUAGAGUUCGGCAGAGGGAAGCGGAAUUUCUGGUGUAGCGGUGAAAUGCGUAGAUAUCAGAAGGAACAUCAGUGGCGAAAGCGGCUUCCUGGACCAGAACUGACGAUCAGGCACGAAAGCGUGGGGAGCAAACAGG
rnacentral:rRNA from 1 species